UCAUUUCAUUAUUGAUUCUUGAUAGUAUAAAGUGGCAGCUCCUCCACCUCUAACUCCACCACUCCGCUCUCAAUUCUCAAACCAAUCUUAGCCACCGCCAAAGUUCUUCCCUCAGCUAAAGUCCUCAGCAAUCUCAAAGUAACAAAACAAACCCUUCUUGCUGAGGCAAACAAGAAGUAGCAUCUCCGUUAAGAUCUUAGCUUGAUUUCCUAACUCCAUUUUAAAAGGUUUCUUGUUUCUAAGUGACCAUUUACUACUUUAAGCCUCGCAGGAAGGACUUGUCUUCUAAAAUGGAAAAGGAGAUCAAAGAUUUGAGUUCUUGGAUUGAGGUCACGCCGGCACUGUUCAUUUCUCUGCGCAAGACAUCCAGUUCUCCUGCUCUGGAGACUAUUUCCGAGGAGGAGGCUGAGGGUGGGGAAGAUGAUGAUUAAUGUAACAUUCAGUGUGUCUCUCUCACAAUUUUCUUUAGUAUAGUGUUGAAUUGAGUCAACCGACCAUGUCAUAUAGCUUAAUUUUGUUGGUGAACCUAACUAGUUGUCCGUAUUUUUAUUGAGACAAAUCACAUCGCGUUUAAUUUUCUUUCGUGUUCUUUGUUUUCCCAAUUUACAGUCCGAAUUUCUCCAAUCACGAAUAAUGUUCGUCUGCAAUUUCCAAAUCAAACCUGGAAGGUUUUUUUAUCACGUAGAACUUCAGUAAAAUAAUUUUGGACUCUAAACUCUAAAGCAAACAUGAUUUCACAAAGGGAUUAAUGUACGUUUGUCCAACAAAUUAAUGUUACAAAAAU
rnacentral:lncRNA from 1 species